rnacentral:rRNA from 1 species
ACGAACGAGAUCUUAACCUGCUAAUUAGCGGUAAGUACGACAUAUUUUUAUGUCGGAUUGGAUCUGGAUGAUUUGCUUAUAUUGAGGUGCAAUCUAAAUAGGGGAUUGCAAUUAUACUUCGUGUCGGUGUUUCUUAAUCGAAUAGCUGAUGCGUUUGGUAUAUUGCUUUCCUUUUUUUUUAUUUCUGCGCUUCUUUACUUGGCUUAUCGUACCGUUUCCUUUUUGUGUAGAAAUGUAUUUGCAUUAUAUUAAAGCUUCUUAGAGGAACGAUGUGUGUCUAACACAAGGAAGUUUAAGGCAACAACAGGUCUGUGAUGUCCUUAGAUGAACUAGGCUGCACGCGUGCUACACUGAUAUGUACAACGAGUUACUAAAAAUAUGCAUUUCGCUAUUUUGUGCUUAUCCAGCCUUUUUAGCAUUAUGGCAUACUUUUCCUCCACUGAAAAGUGUAGGUAAUCUUUAUCACUACAUAUCGUGAUG